rnacentral:rRNA from 1 species
AGAACGAACGCUGGCGGCAUGCCUAAUACAUGCAAGUCGAACGAAGGCUUCGGCCUUAGUGGCGCACGGGUGCGUAACGCGUGGGAAUCUGCCCCUUGGUUCGGAAUAACAGUUAGAAACGACUGCUAAUACCGGAUGAUGACGAAAGUCCAAAGAUUUAUCGCCAAGGGAUGAGCCCGCGUAGGAUUAGCUAGUUGGUGAGGUAAUGGCUCACCAAGGCGACGAUCCGUAACUGGUCUGAGAGGAUGAUCAGUCACACUGGAACUGAGACACGGCCCAGACUCCUACGGGAGGCAGCAGUGGGGAAUUUGGACAA